AGCCUAUGUGUAAAACAGCCAUUAAUUUUUUGGGUUAUUCCUAUCGCAUGUCUUGGAGGAUCCAUACAGAGAAAGGUAAAAAUGUAUUUCUUGCCUAGAAAGUUAUUGAGAUAGAUUCAAGCUAAGGUGCCUGGAAUUUCUGUGAGAUGCCUUGUGGCAUGAUACAAGCAUGCUGUUUAUCUUUCUGUGGGACUGAAUAUUAUCAUGGUGCUCUUCAGCUUGUUCUAGAGAGGAAAUGUGCAAGCAAGGAAGCCAGGAACCCAGCAUACAGGAGUCAAAACCAUUUUACAUCAGGUGUAAAUUAGCUGUUGUCAUACUGAAGUCAGCUGAGUGCAGUAACUUGAGACUACACAGGAGUCAUGUAAAGCUACUGUACAGGAAGUUAGAAUCAUACCCUUUCUCAAGGACCUGGUAUACAAGGAGCAUAAAGAAGGUAUAA
ensembl:lncRNA